AUGCAGCCAACCCACCUUCAAUCGGCCUUCAUCGAUGCCACCACAAAAUCCGACGAAUCUGGAGUCCAACGACAAGAAUUGCACACGCAACUCAGCCGGUGCAAAAGUCAACGAGAGCCCUCUGUUUCGCACAGAAAAACAACGUCGUCAGAGAUCCACCGUCGAAACUUCCAUGAUCUGACCGUCUCCCCUUUAAAUCCGGAUACAUCCACAACCGUCUCUACGCAAUCAUCAUGA